AUGAGCUUUCCUUUUCAGUCAACAUACUAGAUCGACUUCAUAUGACUGCAGAAAGAUUUUCACGUUACAUUGAAUCAAUUUGUAAGCACUUAUCCAUACAACAUGUCCCUGGGAAAACGAACGCGUCUAAUUUGCUUUUUACAGCCCCUAUCCAAUCGUGGAAUCCUAUAUAUAGUACGCCUUUAUACUACGAAUAUCUUGCUGAUACUUAUUACUUACCACUUACAACUGACCCUAGAAAUCCUAAACCCGCAUUACCUGAACUUCUUGUUCAUUAUUUAUUGCUCUACAAUUUAAGUAUGAUUUCUAGAUACGAAACAGAUUGGUGGUAUGAUUUACUUGGAAGCUAUGGAUCUGAAGAUUACCCCUUUAUUUAUCAAUUCCUUACUAUUUCUGCUCAAAAAGUCCCUUACUACAUUUCGUCUUUUUUACUAGCAGAACCAGGCCUAUUUCAUGGGAAAUAAAAAAACACAAGUCAAAAGACUUGUGUUUUUAGUUGCUUGGCGACGUCCUACUCUCACAGGGACAAGGUCCCAACUACCAUCGGCGCUAGAGAGCUUAACUUCCGUGUUCGGUAUGGGAACGGGUGUGACCUCUCUGCCAUCAUCACCAAACUAUGAAGGCAUAUUCCUUCAAAACUAGAUAACAUUNAAGGCUGAGCUGUGAUGGGGAAGCUCCUUAUGGAGCGAAGUCUUUGAUUCCCCGCUGCCAAGAAAAGCUUCUAGCGAGAUAAAAGGUGCCUGUACCGCAAACCGACACAGGUAGGCGAGGAGAGAAUCCUAAGGUGUGCGAGAGAACUCUGGUUAAGGAACUCGGCAAAAUGACCCCGUAACUUCGGGAGAAGGGGUGCUUUCUUAACGGAAAGCCGCAGUGAAUAGGCCCAAGCGACUGUUUAGCAAAAACACAGCUCUCUGCGAAGCCGUAAGGCGAAGUAUAGGGGGUGACACCUGCCCGGUGCUGGAAGGUUAAGGAGAGGGGUUAGCGUAAGCGAAGCUCUGAACUGAAGCCCCAGUAAACGGCGGCCGUAACUAUAACGGUCCUAAGGUAGCGAAAUUCCUUGUCGGGUAAGUUCCGACCCGCACGAAAGGUGUAACGAUUUGGGCACUGUCUCAACCAGAGACUCGGUGAAAUUAUAGUACCUGUGAAGAUGCAGGUUACCCGCGACAGGACGGAAAGACCCCGUGGAGCUUUACUGUAGCCUGAUAUUGAAUUUUGGUACAGUUUGUACAGGAUAGGCGGGAGCCAUUGAAACCGGAGCGCUAGCUUCGGUGGAGGCGCUGGUGGGAUACCGCCCUGACUGUAUUGAAAUUCUAACCUACGGGUCUUAUCGACCCGGGAGACAGUGUCAGGUGGGCAGUUUGACUGGGGCGGUCGCCUCCUAAAGUGUAACGGAGGCGCCCAAAGGUUCCCUCAGAAUGGUUGGAAAUCAUUCGUAGAGUGCAAAGGCAUAAGGGAGCUUGACUGCGAGACCUACAAGUCGAGCAGGGACGAAAGUCGGGCUUAGUGAUCCGGUGGUUCCGCAUGGAAGGGCCAUCGCUCAACGGAUAAAAGCUACCCCGGGGAUAACAGGCUUAUCUCCCCCAAGAGUCCACAUCGACGGGGAGGUUUGGCACCUCGAUGUCGGCUCAUCGCAUCCUGGGGCUGUAGUCGGUCCCAAGGGUUGGGCUGUUCGCCCAUUAAAGCGGUACGCGAGCUGGGUUCAGAACGUCGUGAGACAGUUCGGUCCCUAUCCGUCGUGGGCGUAGGAAAUUUGAGAGGAGCUGUCCUUAGUACGAGAGGACCGGGAUGGACGCACCGCUGGUGUACCAGUUGUUCUGCCAAGGGCAUAGCUGGGUAGCUAUGUGCGGAAGGGAUAAGUGCUGAAAGCAUCUAAGCAUGAAGCCCCCCUCAAGAUGAGAUUUCCCAUAGCGUAAGCUAGUAAGAUCCCUGAAAGAUGAUCAGGUUGAUAGGUUCGAGGUGGAAGCAUGGUGACAUGUGGAGCUGACGAAUACUAAUAGAUCGAGGACUUAACCAU
rnacentral:rRNA from 1 species